UAGGGUGACUUAAAUGCACUAAAAGCACCAGACCCAGAUUGAUCUUGGAAACUAAGCAGAGUCAGCCCUGGUUAAUACUUGGAAGGGAUACCACCAAUGAAUACCAGGUGAUGUAGGAU
rnacentral:rRNA from 11 species